rnacentral:tRNA from 1 species
GCCCGGAUGGCGAAAUUGGUAGACGCAAGGGACUUAAAAUCCCUCGGUAGUGAUACCAUGCCGGUUCGACCCCGGCUCCGGGCACCA